CUCACUGAUGCAAAAAGGAUGACUCUCAUUGAAGUGAGCUGGCAAAAAGCCACUUCCAAAUCAAUGUAGGAAGUCGUGCCUGUUGUGCUUAAAGCCAGCUUCUCCUGCUGCGUGCAGGCUGCUGCAGCCUCGCUGCCGGCACUGAGCCUGCGCUGGCAGGACUGGGAGGGCAGCAGAGGACUCGGUUUGUACUGCUGGGAGUGAAAAUUCAUGGGCAGCAUUAUGGCAGUUUUAUGGACUUCUUCACAAAGGUUUACCAGAAGACCUGUACACAAGAUGCAAUUUCGGAUUCAGUUAAUCUACAGUGCCGUUACUUCCAUCGUGAUGCUCAGAAAACUGCUUUCCUUCCAGCCUACGAUACAGACAUAGAGUGAUUAUUUCUAUUACGAACGCAAGUACCGUGGUGUGAGAAUCUCAUCCAGACUCUUUGAAAGCAGUCCAACAGACUGGGAAAGGGGCCAGGGAGAUUUAAAAGGGAAAAGCAGGAAACGAGACAAACAAACAAAAAGGGCAAAGAAAUGCUCGGGAACUCUUCACGCCAAAGCAAGCAGCAGUGCUGGUGGCGCAGCUGGCACACGGCAGAUAACAAGACACCAGAAGCUUGCACUGUGACAUGGAAAAUAUAGUUCCAUCACUAUGACAAUAUCUUCCUUGCAAAGAUAACCUUAGAAAGUUGUGGGUGUGCAUAUAUAUCCAAUCUUACGUAUCUUGAAGAACUAGAUAAGCGGUGAGUACAGCUGCAUAACCUCCAGUGACAGAGAUGGGAUCAGAUACUUUUGCCGUGAACUGAAAGGCAGAAAUGCCAUUCUUGGGUCAGCAUUUGGCAGAGGGGGAAGAAAAGGACAGGAAAACAUGCCAUGCUGGAUAAAAUGGAGUCAGUUCUGAUUUCCAGACUGAAAUCUCAGGCUUCCUAAACGUUGCACUAACACCAUUUCAUCCCUGCUCAGUCUAACACCAAAUAUGUUUGUCUACUGUCCUAAUUACUUAAUGUAAUAAGCAGCCUAUAGAUAUUUCUCCUUUGCAAACUUCACCUGGGAUGGAAGUGCCCGACCCACGCUGUCCACAGGUGGAAUUAUGACGAUAUCUACUCAAUGAGGAGGUGUACCUUGGGGAAGACGUAUCCUACGAGCACUUCAGCAGCAGUCUUUACAGCCACACCUACUGACUAUGCCAACAAUUUGACAGGCUUUCCUACAAAACAGCCGUGUGGAGACUACCCAGCGAGCCGCAGUGAGGUGUGCUAGUUCAAAGGCGCUCGCUUGGCACGCUUUCCAGCUGGUGCAAGAGUGAUAAAAAGAAAGGAGUGAGUGCAGCUCAUUAGCUCGUGAGUUGUGUUGUCAGCAGUGGGCAAAUGAAGCAAACAUCUCCAAAAUGAGUGUCUAUGCUGGGAACAGGAGGCAAAUGAGGCCCAUGAGCUCAGCAAGCGUCCUGCAGAUUGACUUUGGAAGAUUUUUGGUCCAAUUGUUCAUCAAGGUAUCGACAUAGUUCUCUGUUUCUGAUAAUGUCACUUGGAGGAACGGGUUUGGAAACAGAACUUUGCAGGGGUGGAACUAUAGGAUCUGCUGUUCUGUGGUGUACCCUCUGUGUCUCACUGUAUCCUGUAGUGUCCCGGCUGUAUCUCCCCCACUUCUCAGUCAAGCAUACUACUGUUCACCUCAGGAGAAUGGAUGAGCAGGAAGAAACAUUAAA